CGGUUGGCCAACAGGCGAAGACGGUUGCCUGGGUGAUAGCGGAUCGUGAAUAACGCUCCGCGCCCCGGGGCCGGAGCACUGAUUUCUUGGCUUUGACUCCUAGGGUGACAACCCAAGGUUUGCAGAUCCUCCGAGGGUCUAGAAUACUGAGGUGGAAGACACCUUUUGCUUUAGGGUGCGUGUGUAUGGAUUUGCCCUGACGCGUCCUGGUCACGGAGAGAUGUCAAGGCGCAGGAGUCUGGUUACCUGAGGUCUCCUCCGCCUCGGGUCUAGUUUCAGGAUCUCGGGUCGUCCUCCGCACCAUCCGGGAGUCGUUUGAGCAGGGUCAGAGGGUAGAGCCGGAGGCCGCAGGCUCACCGCGGACUGACGCACGCGUGUGGACAGGAUGCCGAGCCGUUGUCCCGGGGUCGCGGGGCCGCCCGCCUUGGCCCGGACGGAAGGCAGCGAAGGGUCAGCUGGACAGUCUUAUCACCAGAAUUCCAAAGGCACUGGUGAGCAGCAUAAAGCAGAGAGAAUCAAGGAGGGACACAGAAUGUCCUCACACACUGCCAAACUGCAGGAGUUAUGGAGAACUACUCAAAUCCAAACAAUUCACAUCCCUAAAUCAAUGACAGAUGCGUCUUUUCUAAAGCAUCCAGAACUCACCUCAGGCCAGAAGCGCUACCUGUGCAGCAUUGCUAAGAUCUGCAACUCCAGCUAUCUGAGGACCUUAAUGAAGAGGCAGUACAUGCAUCUGUUUCAUCACGGGUUACAGAAGCCAGGUGUCCUCACUCAUCAUAGAAGCCAUAUCAGCUCUCGAUACUCACAGAAACAGCAUUCCCCCUGCACUACAUGGAGACACCAUCUGGAGAGAGAAGACUCUCUGGGCAUUGCAGCAGAAGCACCUGAAAUGAUCAUACAUGCCCUUUGGAGACCCCUGAGACACAAAGAAGGGUCUGUCUGGUUCUUGAGUUUAAGAAGGAAAAACCACCCAGUUCUGUGUACAGAAUCUGGGGAGCCUCCUGAGAUUAAAACUCCCAUUUCCUACAAUCACUCCCCUAAACUCAGAUGAGGGAGGCCACUUCCUCUUCCUUGAAGUGAGUGGGAUAUGACAUUAAGGGCGUCUGAGUUUCGGUGACAGGA
rnacentral:lncRNA from 1 species